UCCAUGUCCAGCUGGUUGAAGCCUGCAGAA
rnacentral:piRNA from 1 species